rnacentral:rRNA from 1 species
AGCGAACGUUUGCGGCGGGCCUAACACAUGCAAGUCGAACGCACUAGCAAUAGUGAGUGGCGCACGGGUGCGUAACACGUGGGUAAUCAACCCUUCAGCUUGGGAUAACGACUUGAAAGGGUCGCUAAUACCGGAUACGGCGAGAGAGGCUUCGGCAUUUCUCGAGAAAGCCUCGCAAGGGGCACUGAAGGACGAGCCUGCGGCCCAUCAGCUAGUUGGUGAGGUAAGAGCUCACCAAGGCGAAGACGGGUAGCUGGUCUGAGAGGAUGAUCAGCCACACUGGAACUGAGACACGGUCCAGACUCCUACGGGAGGCAGCAGUGGGGAAUAUUGCGCAAUGGGCGAAAGCCUGACGCAGCCACGCCGCGUGAGCGAUGAAGGCCUUCGGGUCGUAAAGCUCUGUGGGGAGAGACGAAGAAAGACCCGUGAAGAGCGGGCCGUUGACGGUAUCUCCUUAGCAAGCACCGGCUAACUCCGUGCCAGCAGCCGCGGUAA